CUCUUUUAAGACUGGGAUCCUAAUUAGGAUAAGUUAUACUCCAUGUAUGUCUCAUAAGUGAAAAUAUACUCUACUGUCUUGUAUACCUAAAAAGAACAAAUUUUUUAAAAAGACUGUUUUUACUUAGGAACUGAUGACAGAACUGCCAACUCUGACCUCAAGACUCACUUUGAAUUGUUAUGACACCAGUCAGGGCUUGCCAGAUCCCUCAAGCAACAAAAGUGCUAGUUGAGCUUUCAUUCCCAACAACUUGUGCAGACUUCUCUGUCACGAUAAAGCCCUCAACCUCUCCUUUGCUCUCCCUGUAUCCCAGAGGUCACCCUGGCCUGUCCUUGUGUGGCCUGGAUUGCAAUCCUAGUCUUUGUUCCCAAAGAAAAGUUCCUUUGUUGGAGACGCCUGUGUACAUUUCUUGUUUGACUUUGACACUCUCUAGAAACCUCCCAAAGCCUAGUUCCCAUAACUGGUUACCUCUUAAGGCAGAAGAAACAGAGCUCACACCCCAUAAGAGGUCCUCAGAACUGUGCCCUUCUUCCUGGCCUCCUGCCCGGUCCCUUCCACUAUUAGGCCCCUCCUCACAGACUGUUUGAGGCUCCCGGGAACUAAAGAGAUUUGUGAGUAAGUGACCUUUAACCCAAUGAGAAUCCUCCACCCACAAUCUGGGCUAAUCUUCUUAGGUGUUAAUAUUUAGCAUUACCUUGUACUACUCAGCUCCCUGAACCCUACUCAGCAAAACCUUUUAAAACGCUUCCUUACUUCUUCUCCCUACUUUUUGUCUCGGUUGCUGUUGUUUUGAGCUGGGGUUUUACUGUGUUGCCCAGACUGGCCUUGAACUCCUGGGUUUAAGUGAUCCUUCUGCCUCAGCCUCCCACACAUAGCCAGGACUACAGUACCUGCCAUUGAGCCUGGCUCCCCUACUCUUUUAAUGGGAAUUUCUGGUGUAGCAAAGGUCUGGUAAAGAAGACUAUUCCUCUGAAAACCAAGCAUUUGAUGACAGACACAAGAAUGAUUUCUCAGAGUUGCUAUCAAUCACAGGCACAUUAUUAAAGCACAUUAUUAAAAAUCUGUAAUAAAUGUACCAGUGAAGAAGGUGAUCAGUGCUUUUAAAGCUUGGAAGAGCAGAUUCUGGUUCUGCAGGUCCAGGGUGGUAUCUCAGCUUCUGCAUGUCUACGGAAGCUCCCAGGAGACAUUGCUACCACUGCUCCUGCUGCUGCUGCUGCUGCUAUUGCUGGUGUAGGAGCCAUGGUCAGAGUGUUAUUUAUGGUUCUCCAGAGAAACAGAACCAACAGGACAUGGACACACACACACACACACACACACAUACACACACACACACACCUCUGGCCAAAUUAUUAUAUGGUUGUGUAUAGAUAUUUAUUAUGGAAAUUGGCUCACAAAUUAUGAAAACCAAAAAGCCCCACAAUCUUCUGCUGUCAGAAAACACUGAUGAUGUAAUUCAGUCUGGGUCUGAAGCCCCCAAAACCAGGCACUCUGAUGUCUGAGGACAGGAGAUGGAUGACUCAGAUCAAGGAGAGAGAGAUCUUGUCUUUCUUCUACCCUUUGGUUCUAUUCAGAUCCUCAGUGGAUUGGAUAAUGUCUGCCUACGUUUGUGGGGUGGAUCUUCUUUAUUUAAUUUACUGACCCAAAUGUUAAUAUCUUCUGGAAAGACCCUCCCAAACACAUUCAGAAAUGGUGUUUCAUCAGCCAUCGGGACAUCCCUUAGCCCAGUCAAGUGGACACACAAAAAUUAACUGUCACACUUAGCAAGGAAAUGCUACUAAGUAGUAUGGGAAGGAAACGACAGGCGAAGGAUGUCUUCCUGCAGCUCACAGCCAGCAAACAUCUCUGUUUUUCCAGGCAUCCCUGAACAGUCAAGGGCCUGGGUAUGGGGUCAGAGAGAGCUGUGUCCAACUCUGCUUUCCAUUUACUGUGUGGUCUCUGCCAAGUCAUUUAACUUGUCUGUGACCCAGUUUCCACAUGUAAAAACGGGGGUGGAGAUCAUAUCUGCUUCACUGAACUGUCAAGGAGAUUUUAUGCCACCGUGAGUCUGAUGGCUUAGCAGAGUAUCUGGUACAGAGUUGGCCUCUAAAAGCAGCGCAGAGUCUUGCUAUUGCAGGGACGGAAUCCAGAGACUAAGCAGACUACGCAAGAUUCAGCUAAGCAAGGGCCUGCUGGCUUCAGCUUUUCCAUACUCCCAGUGAGGAUGUGGCUAUGUUUUCACAAUUCCAGAUUUAAUAACAGCCAUGUCAGUGGAUGUGCUCCUGUGUUCUCUGAUUAAAUGGACAUACUUGAGUCGCCCCAGGCAAAAUGAGGUCAUGCAUCAGAAGCCUAAAAAGAAAGCUUCUUUCUAAUUCCCUGUCACACCCUCUGAUGUUGAGGUGUCUUUC
rnacentral:lncRNA from 1 species